rnacentral:piRNA from 1 species
UCCUGACAUCAGAUGGGUCCUUUCCCUCAGC